ACUCCUACGGGAGGCAGCAGUGGGGAAUAUUGCACAAUGGGCGCAAGCCUGAUGCAGCGACGCCGCGUGGGGGAUGACGGCCUUCGGGUUGUAAACCUCUUUCAGCACAGACGAAGCGUAAGUGACGGUAUGUGCAGAAGAAGCACCGGCCAACUACGUGCCAGCAGCCGCGGUAAU
rnacentral:rRNA from 1 species